rnacentral:rRNA from 1 species
UACGGAGGGUCCAAGCGUUAUCCGGAAUCAUUGGGUUUAAAGGGUCCGUAGGCGGUUUUGUAAGUCAGUGGUGAAAGCCCAUCGCUCAACGGUGGAACGGCCAUUGAUACUGCAAGACUUGAAUUAUUGGGAAGUAACUAGAAUAUGUAAUGUAGCGGUGAAAUGCUUAGAGAUUACAUGGAAUACCAAUUGCGAAGGCAGGUUACUACCAAUAUAUUGACGCUGAUGGACGAAAGCGUGGGUAGCGAACAGG